GAAAAUCUUAUAUCUGAUCUGUCCAUCACUUGGUGUAAAAUCAUCAAAGUUUAUUACUUAUAUUUCCAGUACAGAUAUUUUAGAUUUUCAAUAAUUAUCUAUCGUUUUUGUGUGAAAACCAUUUACUAGUAUAUUAUUUUAAUUUCUGUAAUCAUUUUAAUCUUUGAAUGCUUAAUGAAAGCUUCAGAUAUUUAAAGUCAUAUUUUUUUAUAGCUGGUUGUGUUUUUAAAGAUAUUUUAAUAUUUGACUACAUUUACAUGUAUAGGGUAGUUAUAGGGGUCAGCUUAUUGUUACGUUAUACCAGAUCUGUCCGUGUGGUACCCUGUCCUAAGGUUGUAAUAGUUAUCUCAUUAAGCCCUGCCUGAGUUGUACCAUGUACUAGUAACUCAUCUAAAACAAUGGCCUAGAUGUUACGCAGUGAGGAGAGAGAAAUAUUCUUAUUACGGUAGAACUUUGUAGAGAAGUGCUACAGAGGGAGUUAGAGGUUACUUACUUAGACGUAUUGUCUCUACGACUUUGUGUACGUGUGUCUGUGUGAAUUAGAAUCCAACCCCAUGGAGUGUUAAACAAUUAGACCUAUAAAGGACUUCCCAGCUAAGUUGUUUAAAUUUUGGAACAAAUAAGAGCAAAUUUUCAGAAAUUUUAUCUCUUUUUGAUACAUUUGAAAAAAAUAAAUCAGUAGAAAAUUUAAGUUCAAACUUUUGAAUCAAAAAAAAAUUAAUUUGUAUACAUUUUUUGCCGUUGAUACAUUUGGCUAAUCUAUAGAAAAUUUGAAUCAGAUUAUGGCCUUUCAAUAGCUGUGGCUGGGAGCCCUGAGAUUUGUAGUUUAUCUGGGAUAUAGUGAUCCCUAGUCUCUAGUUUCUUCUCUCUCAUGUAGAUAAAUGUGUAGACAGAUAGUACAUUCAUCGCCUACUUGCAAUACCAUACAUUAUACUUAUUGUACAUGUAUAGUAUAUAUGUACAUUAUCAGAAUGUAGCUGGCUAGUUUUUCCAUCCAAGCUUUUAACUCAUUUAUUGUGUAUCUACAUGGUAUGUGCAAUCAAUUUUUGUCAGAAUCUUUUGAAGAUCAGCAAUUUUUUUUUUUUUGUAAAACAAGAAAGGCAACUCUUGCAACACUAUUGAAGAAUUUUUUUUUAGUUUGAUUUUUUUUCCAGACUCCACGUAAAAACUUUAUUCCGGAGUGAAGUUUUUGGUUAUUCUUACAUUUUCAAUGAAAUCCAAUAUAUUAUAUGAUUAUUUUUCAAACCGGUAUUUUUUUCUUCUGACAAAAUUGUGUCACCUUUUUGUGUACAUCUUCGGAUAUGAAUUUUAAUGUUUUGCUUAGCUGUAUGGUUGUUUCACCCUGGCAAAUUGUGUCACAUUCGUGUAUUUACUCUCCAAUAGCAAGCCAAGUGGGUGCUUUUACACACUAAAUAAAAUUUUGAUUUAAUCUG
rnacentral:misc_RNA from 1 species